ensembl:lncRNA
GCUCCCUGGUUUGAGCAGCUAUUUGCUUCUUUCCUCGUUUCUCGUUUAUGAGGAAAACAUAAAAAUGCUUACUGCACUUAAAGUCAUUCUGAACAGAGGAUGUUCAGGGCUCCGUGGGACAUUGGCCUGACCCUCUACAGCUUCUGUUACGGGGUACAGCUGGUGUUAAGGCUGGAAUUUCAGAAGGACGUGUGGAGUUCCUGCUCUUAGACAUUACACAGUGAGUCAAGAAGGAGAAACGAGAUCUAAAAUCAAUCUCAUCUUUUGCAUUUGCUGCCUGGCACUCAGUUAGCAGAGGACCAAUGUGACAAGCCCCUGCAUCGCUGCAUUGGAGCCAGCAAAGCUAGAAGCUUGCAGAGUUGAAGUCCCUCAAACCCAACAACUCCGUGUUACUUCGUGCUGGUGUUGUGUCUGACACAUGCGUAUGAGUGAAGGCUUAUUGCAUUACCACCUUUGGUGCAAUUCGGAAUCACAAAAUGAAGGAUGGAGGCAGCUGCAGUGUUCCCUUAAGGUGAAUAUGGCAGGGACUGGUGCUGCCAACACUCAUCCAGAUCUUCCAUCAGUGAUCUUGGGUCACU